CUCUCUCUCUCUCUCUCAUAUGCAGAUCUUGAGCUAAGCCACAAGCAUAAACAUCAGAUUUACAUCAUUAAUCUGGCAUUCAGAAUGGACUUCCACUUCCCAUCACUCACUGGAUCCAUUGCUAAACUCUGCUCCUUCACCAUUUUGCUUCUUUUCUUGCUUUCUUGCUCCACUUUCACUCCUACAGAAGCCUAUGAUGCUCUUGAUCCAAAUGGGAAUAUCACUAUCAAAUGGGACGUAAUAAGCUGGACUCCAGAUGGCUAUGUUGCAGUUGUCACCAUGUACAACUUCCAGCAAUAUCGCCACAUUCAAGCUCCAGGUUGGACAUUGGGUUGGACAUGGGCAAAAAAGGAGGUAAUCUGGACCAUGAUGGGAGGCCAAACCACAGAGCAAGGGGAUUGUUCCAAGUACAAAGGAAACGUCCCCCAUUGCUGUAAGAAGGAUCCUACUGUUGUGGAUUUAUUGCCAGGAACUCCUUACAACCAGCAGAUUGCAAAUUGCUGCAAAGGAGGAGUAAUAAACUCAUGGGCACAGGACGCUGCUACUGCAGUAAGCUCCUUCCAAGUUAGUGUAGGUGCUGCUGGAACCUCUAACAAAACAGUUAGAUUGCCAAAGAACUUCACCCUGAGAGCACCAGGGCCUGGAUACACUUGUGGGCCAGCAAAGAUUGUGAGAGCAACCAAAUUUAUUUCAUCAGAUAAAAGGAGAGUCACUCAAGCUUUAAUGACCUGGAACGUUACUUGUACGUAUUCUCAAUUCCUGGCUCAGAAGACACCCACCUGUUGUGUUUCUCUGUCCUCUUUCUAUAAUGACACAAUAGUAGGUUGCCCGACUUGUGCUUGUGGCUGUAAAAACAGCACAAAUGGACCUGGGAGCUGUGUGGAUCCGGAUGCUCCACAUUUAGCCUCUGUGGUCAGUUCAGGCAAGAAUGACCUUUCACCUUUGGUGCAGUGUACUAGCCAUAUGUGUCCAAUCCGAGUCCAUUGGCAUGUUAAGCUCAAUUACAAGGAGUAUUGGCGGGUGAAGGUCACAAUUACAAAUUUCAAUUACCGAAUGAACUACACACAGUGGAAUAUAGUUGUGCAACACCCGAACUUUGAUAACCUCACCCAGAUUUUUAGCUUUAAUUAUAAAUCACUAACUCCUUAUGAUGGAUUAAAUGAUACUGCCAUGUUAUGGGGAGUCAAGUUCUACAAUGAUCUUCUCUCACAAGCUGGCCCUUUGGGGAAUGUACAGUCAGAGCUACUUUUCCGAAAGGACAAAUCAACUUUCACUUUUGAAAAGGGAUGGGCUUUCCCUAGGAGGAUUUAUUUUAACGGUGAUAAUUGUGUGAUGCCACCUCCAGAUGCUUACCCAUGGUUGCCCAAUGACAGUUGUCGUCUGAUCAUCUCUUUAUUCCGCCUAGUCAUGGCAUUCUUGGCGUAUAUUGUUUUCUUUUUUGCAUACAUGUAAUGAAUCAUGUCUGAGCCAAACUACUGAAGGUAUCUGUUCUUCUAACAGUCUGUAAACCUGAUCUGGCAUGACCUACACGGGAACAUAAAGAAAUCCAGUCUAUGGGCUCAGAAUUCAGAUGUGUCAAGUGCUGCAAGUUAAUCCAAUACAAGGUGCUUCAGGUGCACCAUUGCCUGGUCUUCAGUUUAUGAAUUAUCAAUUAGUUGUUUUUUUUUCCCCUACAAUUUAUUUGAAAAGCAGACUGUAUUCAUGUUUCUGUAUGGUUAUUUAUGUCAUGCACAAAUCAUUUUGUCUGUAGAAUAUUGUUAGCAUAUAUAUGUUUUUAUCAUUGUAAUAAGGAAUUGUGUGAGGAAUUUAUAUUUGAUUAAUGGAUUUGUUCCUACCACUGUGUGUU
rnacentral:misc_RNA from 1 species